GCCAGGCAUGGUGGUGCAUGCCUGCAACCCCAGCAUUUUGGGAGGCUGAGGCAGGAGGAUUGUGAGUUCAAAGUCAGCCUCAGCAACUUAGUGAAACCCUGUCUCAA
rnacentral:sRNA from 1 species